CCGGCGACCGGCGCACGGGUGAGUAACACGUAUGCAACCUGCCCUCUCCAGGGGGACAACCUUCCGAAAGGGAGGCUAAUCCCGCGUAUAUCGGUUUCGGGCAUCCGAGAUCGAGGAAAGAUUCAUCGGAAGAGGAUGGGCAUGCGGCGCAUUAGCUAGACGGCGGGGUAACGGCCCACCGUGGCGACGAUGCGUAGGGGUUCUGAGAGGAAGGCCCCCCACACUGGUACUGAGACACGGACCAGACUCCUACGGGAGGCAGCAG
rnacentral:rRNA from 1 species